UCAGCCGCCCGCGGUAAUACGGGGGAUGCAAGCGUUAUCCGGAAUGAUUGGGCGUAAAGAGUCCGUAGGUAGUCAUCCAAGUCUGCUGUUAAAGAGCGAGGCUUAACCUCGUAAAGGCAGUGGAAACUGGAAGACUAGAGUGUAGUAGGGGCAGAGGGAAUUCCUGGUGUAGCGGUGAAAUGCGUAGAGAUCAGGAAGAACACCGGUGGCGAAGGCGCUCUGCUGGGCUAUAACUGACACUGAGGGACGAAAGCUAGGGGAGCGAAUGGGAUUAGAUACCCCAGUAGUCCUAGCGGUAAACGAUGGAAACUAGGUGUGGCCUGUAUCGACCCGGGCCGUGCCGAAGCAAACGCGUUAAGUUUCCCGCCUGGGGAGUACGCACGCAAGUGUGAAACUCAAAGGAAUUGGCGGGGGAGCACA
rnacentral:rRNA from 1 species